rnacentral:rRNA from 1 species
GACGAACGCUGGCGGCGUGCCUAAUACAUGCAAGUCGAACGCUUCUUUCCUCCCGAGUGCUUGCACUCAAUUGGAAAGAGGAGUGGCGGACGGGUGAGUAACACGUGGGUAACCUACCCAUCAGAGGGGGAUAACACUUGGAAACAGGUGCUAAUACCGCAUAACAGUUUAUGCCGCAUGGCAUAAGAGUGAAAGGCGCUUUCGGGUGUCGUUGAUGGAUGGAUCCGCGGUGCAUUAGCUAGUUGGUGAGGUAACGGCUCACCAAGGCCACGAUGCAUAGCCGACCUGAGAGGGUGAUCGGCCACACUGGGACUGAGACACGGCCCAGACUCCUACGGGAGGCAGCAGUAGGGAAUCUUCGGCAAUGGACGAAAGUCUGACCGAGCAACGCCGCGUGAGUGAAGAAGGUUUUCGGAUCGUAAAACUCUGUUGUUAGAGAAGAACAAGGACGUUAGUAACUGAACGUCCCCUGACGGUAUCUAACCAGAAAGCCACGGCUAACUACGUG